rnacentral:lncRNA from 1 species
GAAUUUUCACCACUUCAAACAAAUAGCGAAGCUAAGGAGUACAAUGAAAUACCGGUUUCCUAUUUCCCAACAGAUGACCCCAAAGUAUAUUGCCAGUUGCAAAAUGUUCAAUUAUCACCAGUUCAAACAAAUAGCCAAGCUAACGAAUGCCUACAAAAUAACCCGAUCUAUGAAAUAGCCGGUUUUAACUGUUUAGAACCUGAAAACCCAUAUGAUUCAGAUGAUAGCUUAAAAGACUCGUGUUACAUUCAAAAUUCAGAAAGCGACAGCGAGGACUCGAAUACAGUAAAUCAAGCAUCAGGUUCGUCUACAAACUUCAUGAGUAGCAAGAAGUUAAAGCAGAGAAACGAAGCUGAAAACAAAAAAAAUUAUGAAAAAAAUAUUGGUCAAAAUAAACAGCAAGUUGAUCAAAAUAGCUGUGAAUUAAACGAGGCCGAAGAUGUACAAAUAAUAAAGUCAACGAAAACGCUGGAAAAAAAAACAAGAAAAUUGUUAAAAAACUCUGGAAAAGAGUAUACCUCUAAAAGUGGAAAAAAAGUUGUUAAAAGGAAAUCCCGUCCUUUGAAACAAAAUUGUCAAAGAAAAUGCUUCAUAUAUAUACCAGACGAAGUUAGAAUAAAUUUAUUUAAAGAAUAUUGGGAAAUAGGUGAAUACAAUAGAAGAGUUAUGUAUAUAUCGUCUCUACUACAGAUAGAGAGUAAAAAGUCCCAAAUGUUAAACACCUUAAACAAAAGAAAUAGGGAAAAAAGUGUUUCCUACUUCGUUGAUUCGAAAAAUGCGCGAACGCAAGUCUGCCAAGUAUGCUUUUUAAAUAUUUUUGGUGAAACAACUAAAUUUAUCCGUAGUGUAAUUUUAAAAAAGUCUUCUUCAGAAAGCGGGAUUCCUGCUUCUGAUAAAAGAGGGAAGCACCAACCAGUCCACAAAAUUUCGAAGGAGAGAAAAGAUACUAUCAUUAACCACAUACAAAAGUUUCCUGCAUACGAAUCGCAUUAUUCUCGAAAACAUACUGAGAAAAAGUAUUUGCCAUGCGACUUAAAUAAAACAAAAAUAUUCAACCUAUACACCGAGGAAACUUCAAAUCCAGUAUCUUUUAAAAUAUAUUCUCAGAUAGUUGUCAGUUUAAAUUUAAAGUUUAAAAAACCCAGUAACGACACUUGUUCAUACUGUGAUUUGUUAAAUAUGCAGAUUAAAUGAGCAAAAGAUCAAGAAACCCAAAUUUUAUUGGAAGAUAAGCUCAUCAUGUUGAAGCCGAAGCUGCAUUUGAAACGAAGAAAGUCGAUAAAGCAUUAGCUUUGGAUAAUCCAAACUUAAAAGUCAUAGUUUUUGACCUACAGCAAGUGCUUCCAACACCUUAUUUAAGUACAGGAACUGUUUUUUAUAAAAGGCAAUUACACACUUAUAAUCUUACCAUUCACGAAUGCAAUACCAAUCAGUCUUUUCAUUUUAUGUGGCACGAGGGUAUUGCAGGUCGAGGAACUAACGAAAUUGCCUCGUGCCUAUACAAAUAUUUAUUAAAUUUGGAUGAAUCGGUAAAUCACGUUAUCUGCUACAGUGAUACGUGCGGUGGGCAGAACAAAAACUCUCAUGUUGCCAGCAUGUUUACAUAUCUUGUUUCAGUCCACAAGCAUUUGCAAAGGGUUGAUCAUAAAUUUUUGAUACCAGGUCACACACAUAUGGAGUGUGACUCGGACCAUGCCUUAAUCGAAAAAUAUAAAAAGAAGUCACCCUUUCCUAUACAUGUUCCACGCGACGGGUUAAAUUUAGUAAGAUUAGCAGGAAAGUCUAGUAAUAAAAUAAAGAAUAAAAAUGAAACUGGUAAAAUUAUUGUAAACGAAAUGACAACAAAAGAUUUUCUGGAAUUUUCCCAACUUAUGAAAGGCCCUUUAAUAUUAAAAAAACAAACAGACGAUAAAGAAAAACUAAUGUGGAGGGCACAGAAGUGGAUAAGAUAUGAAAAAGAAUUUGGUAUGGUUCAAUUUAAACAGUCUUUAUCAGAGAGUGACGAUUUCAAAUUUGUAAAUUUUAAGAGAAAGACCUCAAGUAUCAAAUUAUCUGACAUAAAGAUAGCUCAAAUAUUAUCUGGUAGCAGGAGUAUCGAUAAAAAGAAAAAAAAAACUUAUUAGAACUCCUUGAUCUAAUUGAUGAGGGUGCACGCGAUUUUUAUGUAAAUUUAAACGUCACAUCACAGGCACAGGUCCAAAAUGAUGUCGAUCCAGAUGUAGAUCGGGAAUAUAGUGAUAUAGAAUUUUAAAUAUUAGAAACUAAGUUUAAAGUUCGUUUCCCAUCUUUUUAAUUUUUUUCUCUUCUCCUAUAAUUUGGGUUUUUUUAAUUGGUUUAAAACUUAUUUAGCUUUAAAAAGAAUACGUCUAUCGUUUAGUUUGUUUCAUUUACUGUUUCGUUUGUAUUUUCUGCUAGAAAAAAAUCAUGCACCGCGCUUGAUAGAGUUUGUUUAAAAGACUCUUUUUUUUGAAGAAAAAUAUUUUUGUUGUUGAUUAAUGUUCUUUGUUGUGUCUUAAUGUUUAAUGUGCGUACCUAGUAAAAAUUUGAAAAUUGGUUUCUCUAGUUCUCUCAGCAAAAACUUUUUUGUUCUUUUUUAGUAAUAAGUAAUAGGUACUUGAUGAAGUACAAUAAUAAUUUAUUAAACUAUUUUUAAAACGGAAUUUCUAAUAAAAUGAUAAUAAUUAAUAAGUCUAGUUGUUUUAAAUACUGAGUUUUAUUUAUUUUAAAAACAAAUCGAUAAAAGGGCCUAUCUCGAUUUAGAUUCGUUUGACAUUCUGUUGGUCAUCUUAUAUUUUUAAAAGGUCCAAUUAUGCCCUUUUGUCGGCUAGGAUUAUAUGUAUGUCUGAAUUAUGUCCACCCAUUUUUUUUAAAAAACAUAGAUACUUUUAGAAAAAUAACUAAAAUUUUUAUGAUAAAUUAAAAAAUACGUAUUUUGAC